AUCUGACACUCCUCAACGGUGGCCAGUCUGGCCCCAUCUUUCGGACGUGGCGCCAUGAC
rfam:Thermosinus carboxydivorans Nor1 ctg51, whole genome shotgun sequence.